GAUGAACGCUGGCGGCGUGCUUAACACAUGCAAGUCGAACGGGAAACCUUUUAUUGAAGCUUCGGCAGAUUUAGCUGGUUUCUAGUGGCGGACGGGUGAGUAACGCGUGGGUAACCUGCCCUAUACAGGGGGAUAACAACCAGAAAUGGUUGCUAAUACCGCAUAAGCGCACAGGGCCGCAUGGUCCGGUGUGAAAAACUCCGGUGGUAUAGGAUGGACCCGCGUUGGAUUAGCCAGUUGGCAGGGUAACGGCCUACCAAAGCGACGAUCCAAAGCCGGCCUGAGAGGGUGAACGGCCACAUUGGGACUGAGACACGGCCCAGACUCCUACGGGAGGCAGCAGUGGGGAAUAUUGCACAAUGGGGGAAACCCUGAUGCAGCGACGCCGCGUGAAGGAAGAAGUAUCUCGGUAUGUAAACUUCUAUCAGCAGGGAAGAUAGUGACGGUACCUGACUAAGAAGCCCCGGCUAACUACGUG
rnacentral:rRNA from 1 species